AUGGACCGGACAUCGAAUUUCAUGCCUACUCCUGAUCAGGAUGUCCUCGAUAUCCAGCCCCUGAGGACUUUGGCUCCCAUGUUCCCUGCGCCCCUGGGGGUCAACACGUUUAACGUGCCUAACACCACCCCACCAUUGAUAUUUGUCACUUCAGCUGGGCAGUUUCCAGGGGGGUUUGGUGCUCCCGGCCAUCCUGCUUUCACGUCAUUCGCGGCCGCUUUCGGUGCUCAAGAUGCUUAUGGAGGGCAGCCUGCCUCUUCCCGUGGCCAGGAUGCCGGUAGAGGGCAACCUGCAUCUUCUCGUGGUCAGGAUGCCGGUGGAGGCCGGGCUACCACCUUUGCUGAUAAGUAUGCUGCUAAUGGAGGCCAGACUGCUGCUAAUGGGGCUACAAACCUUGGCGCCAGCGCUGACAACCCAAUUGAUGUCAUCCCUAUAUCAGCUUACAGGCCGACACCGCCACCUGUUAUACCACUGGAUGACGAUGACGAUGACAAUGAGCAUUUCACUGGCAACCAGACGUCAGCAUCUGGGCGGAAGAUCAAGAGGCCGUCCCACCUAAGUGGAUAUAAGAUGAGCGGCGGUUUGGGCAGUGAUGACAACAAUGGUGUGAAGACCAAACGCAACAAAUCCUUUCACAGGAAGGCUGGUGCUGACAAUGAGUUUACCUCGGUGCCCCUUUCAUCCAGCAAUCCCAGGGAAGUUGUGGAAGAGGUUCUCAUGAACUUCGAGGCCCUGCGGCGUAGACAUCUUCAAUUGGAUCAGGCACAAGAGAGUACCAAACGCCCAGACCUUAAGAUUGGUGCCACGAUGAUGGCCUGUAAUCUUAGGGCUAACAUCGGUAAGAGGAUUGGAGUUGUUCCUGGAAUCGAGAUAGGGGAUAUUUUCUACUUCAGGAUGGAGCUAUGCAUUAUUGGCUUGCAUACUCCUACCAUGGCUGGAAUUGAUUAUAUGACCCACACAUUUGGUGAUAAGGGUGAUGAUUCUGUAGCAGUAUGUAUUGUCGCUGCAGGUGUUUAUGAGAAUGAAGAUGAUGCUACAGACACACUAGUCUACAGCGGUUCAGGAGGUAGUAGCAAGAACAAUGAGGAGAUGCAUGACCAGAAGCUUGAGAGGGGUAACCUUGCUCUUCAGAUGAGCCUGUCGAGAAAGAAUGUGAUCCGGGUUGUACGGGGAUUUAAAGAUCCAGGUAGCUUGGGUGGGAAGGUUUAUAUGUAUGAUGGCCUCUAUAAGAUCCAUGAGUCCUGGAAGGAGAGAACAAAGACUGGGAUCAAUUGCUUCAAGUACAAGCUGCUGAGGGAGCCAGGACAACCCGAGGGAAUGUCAAUCUGGAAGAUGUCCCGGAAAUGGGUAGAGAAUCCAGCAACUAGAGGCAGAGUUCUACACCCUGAUCUAUCAUCUGGUACUGAAAAUCUUCCGGUGUGUCUUGUCAAUGAUGUUGACAGUGAGAAAGGACCAGGCCUUUUCACCUAUAUUACCCAGGUCAAAUACCCAAAGCCACUAAGUUCUAUGAAACCAUUACAGGGUUGUUCAUGCCUCAAUGCUUGUCUGCCCAGUGAUACCGAUUGUGAUUGUGCAGAGUUUAAUGGAGGUAAUUUACCUUAUAGUUCAACAGGAUUGCUUGUAUGCCGCAAGAAUAGGCUAUAUGAAUGUGGUGAAUCUUGCCAGUGUUCAGUUAACUGCCGUAACAGGGUGACACAGAAGGGGAUUAGGGUUCACUUUGAGAUCUUUAGGACAGGAAAUCGAGGCUGGGGUCUUCGUUCAUGGGAUCCUAUACGGGCUGGCUCAUUUAUCUGCGAGUAUGUUGGCGAGGUUAUUGAUGAGAGUAAAAGGAAUUUGGAUGGUGAAGAUGAAGAUGAUUACCUUUUUCAGACUGUGCGUCCUGGUGAGAAGACAUUAAAAUGGGAUUAUGUACCUGAACUGAUGGGGGAGCAAAUCACAAAUAAUUCAGCUGAUACUUUUGAGCCACUGCCCAUCAAGAUAAGCGCAAAGAAAAUGGGAAACAUCUCACGUUUCAUGAAUCAUAGUUGCUCCCCUAACGCCUUCUGGCAGCCAGUUCAGUUUGACCAUGGAGAUGACGGUCACCCACAUAUCAUGUUCUUUGCGCUAAAGCACAUCCCUCCCAUGACAGAGCUGACUUAUGACUAUGGUGAGAUUGGAGCUGAUUCUGGUGGUAUAGGUUCUCCUGGAGCUAAGAGAUGCCUUUGUGGAUCCUCAAAUUGCCGGGGCUAUUUCUGCUGA
rnacentral:rRNA from 1 species